CCGGCAUUUCUUUUAUAAAUCACUAGAUAAGUUGUACAGACUAAAGUAACGUUAACAUUAUACCAUCCACAGCGUUAUACUGAUAGCUUUCACAUCUUUUUUGACAGGGACUAAGGAACAAACGGAGACGUUUAUACUUCUCCGUUUAGAAAAACAGCAGCUGUUUACCGGGGGAAGGACACCGCGGCCAACGGAUAUCGGCUUAUUUUGGAGAAGAUGGGGAUCGGAGGGUCACCCACGCCCAGGCCAAGAAGAAGUGGGACAAUCUGAAGACCAAGUACAAGGAAUGCAAGUGUCCUGCUACAGGUCAGGGGACAGAGGAUGGCAAGGCGACGGCAGCAACUUGGCCCUGGUUUGCCCUCAUGGACGAGGCAUUAGGGCAGUCUGCGGCAGUCUCGCCCCCCUGCCUUAUUGCCUCGAUCCAAGAGGACAAACCAGGGCGAAGCACUGCACAAGAGGUAGAGGAAGGGAGAGAUGAGGAGGAGCAGGAGGAGCGAGCCACAUGCAGCAGCAGAGAGAGAGCAGGGAACAGAGGAGAGAAGAGGAGAAGGGAGAGAGUGGAUCCAUUCCUACAGCUACUGAAGGAGGACAUAAAAUACCAGAGGGAGGCAGAUGAGAGAAGGGAAGCAGAGACCAGAGAGAGGUCAAAUAGAUUUUUUUCAUUGUUGGAGAGGUUGGCGG
ensembl:lncRNA